UGCAGUCGAGCGAUGGAUUGAGAGCUUGCUCUCAAGAAGUUAGCGGCGGACGGGUGAGUAACACGUGGGUAACCUGCCCAUAAGACUGGGAUAACUCCGGGAAACCGGGGCUAAUACCGGAUAACAUUUUGAACUGCAUGGUUCGAAAUUGAAAGGCGGCUUCGGCUGUCACUUAUGGAUGGACCCGCGUCGCAUUAGCUAGUUGGUGAGGUAACGGCUCACCAAGGCAACGAUGCGUAGCCGACCUGAGAGGGUGAUCGGCCACACUGGGACUGAGACACGGCCCAGACUCCUACGGGAGGCAGCAGUAGGGAAUCUUCCGCAAUGGACGAAAGUCUGACGGAGCAACGCCGCGUGAGUGAUGAAGGCUUUCGGGUCGUAAAACUCUGUUGUUAGGGAAGAACAAGUGCUAGUUGAAUAAGCUGGCACCUUGACGGUACCUAACCAGAAAGCCACGGCUAACUACGUGCCAGCAGCCGCGGUAAUACGUAGGUGGCAAGCGUUAUCCGGAAUUAUUGGGCGUAAAGCGCGCGCAGGUGGUUUCUUAAGUCUGAUGUGAAAGCCCACGGCUCAACCGUGGAGGGUCAUUGGAAACUGGGAGACUUGAGUGCAGAAGAGGAAAGUGGAAUUCCAUGUGUAGCGGUGAAAUGCGUAGAGAUAUGGAGGAACACCAGUGGCGAAAGCGACUUUCUGGUCUGUAACUGACACUGAGGCGCGAAAGCGUGGGGAG
rnacentral:rRNA from 2 species